rnacentral:rRNA from 1 species
UACGUAGGUGGCAAGCGUUGUCCGGAUUUACUGGGCGUAAAGAGCGCGCAGGCGGUCGUUCAAGUCGCGUGUGAAAGCCCCCGGCUCAACUGGGGAGGGUCACGCGAUACUGAUCGACUGGAAGGCAGGAGAGGGUAGUGGAAUUCCCGGUGUAGUGGUGAAAUGCGUAGAUAUCGGGAGGAACACCAGUGGCGAAGGCGACUACCUGGCCUGUUCUUGACGCUGAGGCGCGAAAGCUAGGGGAGCAACGGGG